rnacentral:lncRNA from 1 species
CUCCAAAAAUAAAAAAAUAAAUAAUGUAUUGCGUGUUCAAACUGCCUUCAGUAUAACAUUUGGCCCCAAAACUAAUAAAACUAAUAGAAAUUGUAAAGAAUAAAUAAUAGCAUAACAUUUAGCCCCACCGUUUGUAGGCUGUUCUGUUGACUGUUUGUUGGCCGAUGAAAAGACAAGGAUACCCCUCGCGCUCAAAUCAAGAACCGAAUUUACUAUUUCGACUGCUGUAAUCUGCUUUAGCGCCAAAGGGUAGAGUACUUGCCAAAUGACAAAACGCCAUUGACAAAACAAUGACAUUACUGAAUCAUUAAAAAAUAAUAAUAAUAAAUUAAAUACAACUCUAUUCCUCUGAUGACCAUAAAUUGUUACAUUUGUAAGCAAAAAAUAAACAAAUAGAUAGAUGAAAAAAAAAAAAAACACAUUUCCCAUUUCUUUCACUUGCUUCUCAAGCUACACACUCUUUCAUCAAUUAAUCACAGCUCAACUUUAAUUGAAUUUCAAACAUUGGAAUCAAACCAUGGAUUCACAAAGGUCAAAAUAUGGGAGUGUUUGGAAUUGAGAUGUUGUAGCUUCUAAGCUACAAUUGCUGUGGAAAAAAAAUUGUAACUAUAAAAUAAAAGUUAGUAAUAUAUAGUAAAUAUGAAUUUUAAAUAAUAAUUUUGAUAAAAUUAUUAAAAAUAUAAUAAAUUUUUCAUUAUACAAGUGAAAAAUCAUAUUAAUAUAGCUCUCAAGGUACAGCAACUAGUGUUUACCAAACACUUUAGAGCUGCAGCAGUCCAACCUCAAUCUACGCACUCUAUAUCAAGCAGAUCAACAACAAUUUUAUGCACCAUGUUGAAAGUUUUCUCAUCUAGGACUGGCAAGCACCAGAAUGGCUGGAUCAUCAACAACAAUUUAUGAGCCACUGUGUCUUGGUUUCACUGAAUUGCUGGAUGAUUAGCUUGGUCUUGAAGCUGAAAUUUUCACCUAGAACUGAGAAAAUAGUUAAAUGAAAUAAUAUGACAUACAAUAAAGUCAACAAAAUAAAAGGACAAAUAAACUUAUUUAGUAAUGUCGCAAUUAUAUUUAUUGCCAUGCUAUCACUUUCAUUGCAGACAUCAUCACCAUAAUACUAGCAGUCUAGCACUAAUAGUCAGAAUAAUAAUAAUAAUAGUAGUAGCACAAUUUUUGAAAUUUCUGUAGAGUAAGAUCUAAAGAUGCCAAAAAUAUCAUAUGAAAAAAAAAAAAAAGGUCCAAGAAUUCAAGGAAAGAAAACUCAUUAACAAAGAACCUAACUUUUUAAUCAUGUUUAAUAAACUAAGUUCUUAUGAUUUUCCAUUAUUAAGACAAUUGGUUUCUGCUUUCUAAUGUUUCAAAGCAUACCAAGAAAUAUUAACAAUUACCAAAUCAGUAAGCAGCACAAUUACUUGAUAAGACUUUUGACUUGUCUAACCCAAAAUUGUACCCAAUUCUACACUCUACUAUGAAGCUUAUGAAGCCGAACUUACUUUGACCAAACAACACUACUAGCUCAGUUAAAGGAAACCACAACUGAAUAAAGAUCAGCUGAAAUAACUAAAUUGAAAAAAGUUCAUAAAACUAAAAAUAACUUAUAAUAGUCUAUUAAAGACAUACAAAACAGGAAGAUAAAUAAACAUAGGUCUAUUUUCUUGACACUGCCAAGUUUUGGUUUCAAAAUCACCAUAUUGCAAUAAUAAAUUGUUGUGAUUCCUAAGAUACAAUAUGUAGCAGCUUAUAUGCUGGCAAUCAUAGUCAAAGAAGAUGGUUGUCAAACGUCCUCGCAAAUCAAGAAGCUAAUAAAGACCAGGUCGCACAACAUUAACAUAUAUCAGUUCUUUGAUAUAAAGAUAUUGAAUGUUAUACACUUCUAAUCCCAAGUCCUGAAACAUAAAACAAAAGUUCACUUCACAUAUUCAUAAAGCUAAAGUACUAGAGAAAUGGGGAAUAGACAUGGAUAUGGGUCAAUAAACUAUUAAGCUAAUUAAUGCACACGACGGAAUCUGUUAGAACAAGUUAAAUAGCCCUUACAGAGAAGCAUCCAAUUUCCUAAAAGGAGAUAACGGCAAUACACAUAAAAUAGCUUCACUUACCAUUAAGCAAUAUGCUAGUAUUAACUCGCGAGAUAACAACUGAUGAUUGAUUCAGUUGCACUUACAUAUGCCUAAAGUUUUAACUUUCAAAUUGAUUGCUGCUUGCUCCUUUAUCUAGAAACAUAUUUGACGGUGAUUAAUCCUGACCUCUACCAUGCCAUUCAAUUUUCAUAUUCUCAUAAUCAUAAAUUCACUUUUAGGAAUAUCAACUGCACUAUUAAGAGCCCAAACUUGAUCAAACAGAACUAUUAGCUCAUAACUUCAUCAAUUGGAUAAAUAAAGUCACAAUAACAAUGCCAGCAGCUGCUUCAACACAUCAUCAACAAACCCAUUUUCAUUUAAUCAACAAAAAUCCCCGACAGCAUUUUCAACACAUCAACAAACCCAUUUUCAUUUUAAUUGAUAAAACACCGCCAGCAUCAGAGCAACUUCAUCAAAACAUCAACAAACCCAUUUUCAUUUUAAUCCACAAACAACACCAGCAACAGAGCAUAUUCUUCGACACAUUAACAAACCCAUUUUCAUUUUUAAAUAACAAAACAAAAUAAUGCCCAAUCACUGAUUUCCAACAUGCAAAGAGUUUUUUUUUUUUUCUUUUUUCAAAGACUAACCUUCUACGCUAUUGAGCGACGGUCGCCUCUAGCCCCGACCGCAGGCGGCACUCAGUCGACGCCGUCACCCUUGAUUAUCACCUUACGGUUGAUUUCUUUAUCUUCAAAGCAUUUAGAGGUGGAUAUGUGUGUGUUUCGGUUAGAUGAAGGAGAAUUGUUUUCGUGAUGAAUAGAUUUGAUGAAAGAGAAAGAAACACUCUCAAAUCAGCUGGAUAUAUUGUGUAGCGAUAGAUGCAUUGGAUAAUUACUUGUAGCCUCAGCAUUUUAUUUUUUAAAAUUU